rnacentral:sRNA from 1 species
GGAGGACAGUGGAUGACAGGGAAGACGAGUGGGGGCAGAGCUGCUCAGGACCAUGGCUGAGGCCAUCACCUAUGCAGAUCUGAGACCCAGGGGCUGAUGAUGAUGAGGAAAUCACCUACGAGAAUGUUCAAGUGCCCGCAGUCCUAGGGGUGCCCUCAAGCUUGGCUUCUUCUGUACUAGGGGACAAAGCAGCGGUCAAGUCGGAGCAGCCAACUGCGUCCUGGAGAGCCGUGACGUCACCAGCUGUCGGGCGGAUUCUCCCCUGCCGCACAGCCUGCCUGCGAUACCUCCUGCUCGGCCUGCUCCUCAUCUGCCUGCUGUUAGGAGUGGCCGCCAUCUGCCUGGGAGUGCGCUAUCUGCAGGUGUCUCAGCAGCUCCAGCAGACGAACAGGGUUCUGGAAGUCACUAACAGCAGCCUGAGGCAGCAGCUCCACCUCAAGAUAACGCAGCUGGGACAGAGUGCAGAGGAUCUGCAGGGGUCCAGGAGAGAGCUGGCGCAGAGUCAGGAAGCACUACAGGUGGAACAGAGGGCUCAUCAGGCGGCCGAAGGGCAGCUACAGGCCUGCCAGGCAGACAGACAGAAGACGAAGGAGACCUUGCAAAGUGAGGAGCAACAGAGGAGGGCCUUGGAGCAGAAGCUGAGCAACAUGGAGAACAGACUGAAGCCCUUCUUCACAUGCGGCUCAGCAG